rnacentral:misc_RNA from 1 species
GUGAAUCAUCAAAUCUUUGAACGCAAAUUGCACUCUCUGGCAUUCCGGAGAGUAUGCCUGUUUGAGGGUCAGUAUAUAUAAAAACCGAGGUGUUGCUGUUUUGUGACCCAUCGGAAUUGGGAUAGAUUUGACCUUUUAAAAAGUUUAAGUGCCCUAAAAUUGAUACCUUGUGCACCUCAG